rnacentral:rRNA from 1 species
UACGUAGGGUGCGAGCGUUAAUCGGAAUUACUGGGCGUAAAGCGUGCGUAGGCGGUUCGUUAUGUCUGAUGUGAAAUGCCCGGGCUUAACCUGGGAACUGCAUUUGUGACUGCAUGGCUAGAAUCUGGCAGAGGGGGGUAGAAUUCCACGUGUAGCAGUGAAAUGCGUAGAUAUGUGGAGGAACACCGAUGGCGAAGGCAGCCCCCUGGGUCAAGAUUGGCGCUCAUGCACGAAAGCGUGGGGAGCAAACAGG